GUGGGGAAUAUUGGACAAUGGGCGAAAGCCUGAUCCAGCAAUACCGCGUGAGUGACGAAGGCCCUAGGGUUGUAAAGCUCUUUUACCAGGGAUGAUAAUGACAGUACCUGGAGAAUAAGCUCCGGCUAACUCCGUGCCAGCAGCCGCGGUAAUACGGAGGGAGCUAGCGUUGUUAGGAAUUACUGGGCGUAAAGCGCGCGUAGGCGGUUUUUUAUGUCAGAGGUGAAAGCCCGGGGCUCAACCCCGGAAUUGCCUUUGAAACUGGAAGACUUGAAUCUUGGAGAGGUCAGUGGAAUUCCGAGUGUAGAGGUGAAAUUCGUAGAUAUUCGGAAGAACGCCAGUGGCGAAGGCGACUGACUGGACAAGUAUUGACGCUGAGGUGCGAAAGCGUGGGGAGCAAACAGGAUUAGAAACCCUAGUAGUCC
rnacentral:rRNA from 1 species